rnacentral:piRNA from 1 species
UAUUCUUGCAUACGGCCUGAUCUGAUG